UAUUUUUAGCUCCACCUAUCUAGUGUAACUUGCGUGAACAAGCGGCCUAGGAAGAGAUAACUGUUCUAGCCGUAGACACCAAUCUUUGUUAAGAGAUCGGAUGCCCAGUCUCUUCGCCUACAUUGAUAAGGUAUCUUGUCGCAUGUGACUACAGACAACCUUACUCACCAGACCGACCACUGCAGACAUCCCUUGGGUAUGGAAACGAUUAUACUCACCAGGGGAAUCGAACUCACGGUCUCAAAGUGCUUCGUUUACUAUGUGACGCGUUGUCCGACUCACCUACCCGACCCGCUCUUGUUUUACAUUAUUAAGAGACGUAUUUUUACGUCUACUUUAUUUUAUACCUUGAUGUGGCAUGUUCAUCUGACUAUCAACUCCCAACGACUCUUGUAUGGUCAUUUUAGCAUUUAAUCCCAAAAUAAAUUCUCAAGAAAUUACGAAAUUACAAGAAAAAAAAAUUGAGUAAGGACUGGGGCAAGGACAUUAACAAAUUUUGGCAACGUUGGUGCAACAAUUAAUCGUCGUCUGCCGUUUCAAUUUGGAGUGUGGUGUUUGGACACCCGACGCCCGAGGUGGAGAGAACCUACAAGAAAACCAAACAUCCAAGAUUCCAAGUCUUCCUUAAAAAUUACUGGUUCAACAGCCAGGUGAAAUCUCUUCUUCGUUGGUGUCCAACACAACACAUUUCUAACAAGGCUCAACUGUGUGCACAACAUCAAUAUGGAUUGAUCAUGUGUUUGAAACUUAGACAAGGUUGCAGAGGAAUAUUUUCAUAAAAGCCGACUGUCCUUCAAACGGUUCGAAAUGGAAGAUUUAUUCAUCCACCGAAGAAACGAGUCAAAUGACUCAAAUGUCAAUUGGUAAAAAACCCAUUCCCAGCUCAGCUCAGCAACGUCAACCUGUGGAAGGAAAGGCCAGUUUGAAUGUCCUUCACGCUCGAAGGUCACGGAGAUUAUUACGUAAAACGUGUCGUGUGGUGUAGAGGUUGGGUGAGAACGGGAAGUGGUACAUAUUCAUUUGGUAUUCAUUUUGAUAUUGGUUUUUGUAGACCCAUCCCCAGCAACGUCAACCUGCAUGAUGAAAGAUUUGCAUUUCCUUCACUUUCGAAGGUCACGUAGAUCAUUAAGUAAAACGUGUCAUGUGGUGUAGAGGUUGGGUGAGAACGGGACGUGUUUCAUAAUUAUCAAGCAGGUACAAUAGCCGCAAGGCUUAAGAAGUGAAUAAGGAUGAGAAAAAGUGGCGACAGAGAUCAGUCGAGUGUGCAUAUCUCCGACCCGGCAACAACUGUGGUGUACUAUUUGUCACCAACAGCAUUCUUCCUAUUCGUAAUUGUAGUGAACUAUGGCGUCGUUCUGCUGUUGGUAAUCGUUGAUGGAUAGGUCAACCACUAGGGUACCGAUGUCUUCUGCGGAUGGCGAAUACCAGACCGCCACGUCGCCAUCUUAGUACAAGACAACAUCAAACGCAACGACCAGUUACUACACCGACGCCCCAAGUACUACACUGAGAAGGCUGAAUGUUACACAGCCACAUAUGCUGCCACAGUUUACUACACCGAUGGACCCAAGUAUUACUCUACUCCAACUCUCCAAGCUACUACUAGUCAGACGCUUCUGACUACACCAAGACCCCGAGUAUUACACCAGAACCCACUCUUCUCCACCUUACUACACACGGCAACAACUAUAGUACUCUAUUCGUCACCAACUGCAGUCUUGAUCGUGCAACCAAUUUGCAAUCAUGCUUAGUUUUGGCGUCGUGCUGCUACGCAUGCUGUUGGAUGUUGUAUCGUUGAUAGUGGGUCGACCACUGGUGUACCGAACUCCACCGAGGUUGGGUAGAGAAUUCCACGUGUUGCAUCAUUAUCAAGUGGAUGCAAUAGCCGUAAAGCUUAAGAGGUGAAUUAGGACGAGAAAAAGUCGUAUAAAAGGAGAGGGAAAAGGCGAUGGAGAUCAGCCGAGUGAGCAUCUCCGACCCGGCAACAACUGCAGCACAAUAUUUGUCAUCAACUGCAUUCUUCCUAUUCUCAAUCAUCGUUAACUAUGGCGUCGUUCUGCCGUUGGUUAUCGUUUAUUGCUGGGUUGACCACUGUUGUACCGGUGUGUCAUGGGAUGGCGGAUACCAAACCGUAACGUCGCCGCCCAACUACACAACGUCAUACGUAACAACCAGUUACUACACCGAGGCCCACAAGAACUCCGAUCCCAGCUACUAUACCGAGGCCCACAAGUACUACACCAUCAAGGCAUCGGAGUAUUUCACCACAACCUACGCUGCCACAGCUUACUACACCGAGGCUCCCAAGUAUUACUCUGCUCCAGCUACAUACCCACAACUGAGGCAGUAUUUAUUACUACACAGCGGCUGUUUCAUCGUACUACGGUGAUCCGAAUUAUUACUCCGAGGUUCGCAGUUUACUACACCAAAAUCUACGCUGCCCCCAGCUACUACACUGAAGCUCCUGUUUACUACAAUACUAAGGCACCCGAGUAUUAUACCAUUACUUACCGAAGCUCCGAAGUAUUACUCUGCCCCGAGUUACUGACAACACUAAGGCACCUGAAUAUUAUAUCACAACCUAUGCCUCUCCAGCUUACUACAAGAAGAUUUAGUACCCUAUCCGAAAUUUAUAUAUGUAAAUCAAAUUUGAUUUUAAUGAGGAUAAUGUUUUUUAUGCGAGUAAUUAUCUUGUAAAUUCUUAACACCUCCAAGCCUUUUAACAUUGCAACUUAUUUGAUUUUUUUUUUAGAAGAGCUACUGUUGCUUCAGUCGCUUCGAACGAGCUUUUGACGGUGCUUGGACGAAUUUCAUUUUCUGGGCAAGUUACGAAAGAAACAUACUGUUAGGUGUUUGUUUUAAACUUACUCUUAAAUUUUUAAUCAACUGCGUAGCAAAUGGACUUUAAGGCAAAUAUUGUAUUCGGUUUUAGUCAUUGAUCUACAGACUCUUAAAAUAAAUUACCAAGUCCCUUUGAAACUAAUGUAUAAAAUUUAAAACUUCAAUCUUCUGUUACAAACUAUUAAAUACACAAUAGACAA